GGCAGCAUAGAGAGCUUGCUCUCUGAUGGCGAGUGGCGAACGGGUGAGUAAUAUAUCGGAACGUGCCCAGUAAUGGGGAAUAACUAGCCGAAAGGUUAGCUAAUACCGCAUACGACCUACGGGUGAAAGCAGGGGAUCUUAGGACCUUGCGUUAUUGGAGCGGCCGAUAUCUGAUUAGCUUGUUGGUGGGGUAAAAGCCUACCAAGGCAACGAUCAGUAGCUGGUCUGAGAGGACGAUCAGCCACACUGGAACUGAGACACGGUCCAGACUCCUACGGGAGGCAGCAGUGGGGAAUUUUGGACAAUGGGGGAAACCCUGAUCCAGCCAUCCCGCGUGAGUGAAGAAGGCCUUCGGGUUGUAAAGCUCUUUCGAAAGUGAAGAAAACUUAUUUCAUAAUAUGUUAUGAGUAUGACGGUAACUUUAGAAGAAGCACCGGCUAACUACGUGCCAGCAGCCGCGGUAAUACGUAGGGUGCGAGCGUUAAUCGGAAUUACUGGGCGUAAAGCGUGCGCAGGCGGUUUUGUAAGUCAGAUGUGAAAUCCCCGAGCUUAACUUGGGAACUGCGUUUGAAACUACAAGACUAGAGUGUGUCAGAGGGGGGUAGAAUUCCACGUGUAGCAGUGAAAUGCGUAGAGAUGUGGAGGAAUACCAAUGGCGAAGGCAGCCCCCUGGGAUAACACUGACGCUCAUGCACGAAAGCGUGGGGAGCGAACAGGAUUAGAUACCCUGGUAGUCCACGCCCUAAACGAUGUCAACUAGUUGUUGGUGGAGUAAGAUCCAUGAGUAACGUAGCUAACGCGUGAAGUUGACCGCCUGGGGGAGUACGGUCGCAAAGAUUAAAACUCAAAAGGAAUUGACGGGGGGCC
rnacentral:rRNA from 1 species